GCCGAGCUUGCAACCCUAGUGGGGCUUUGAGGUGCUGGAACAUUGGCCCAGUAUUAGCGGCUUGGGUUUGGGAUGCCUAUCUAUUGGCCCGCCAUUCCAAGCCAAGGGUUGAACCUUGUGGCUCGAGCGAAGGCUCUGGGUCACAGAGUUUCUAAAGAGGAGGGAACCGGAUAAGGUUGGCUUCACAAAGCAACAACUACCUCCCGCUCUUGGCCGUGGAAGGAUUACAGAUCAGUGUCACAUGGAUCCACCAUGGCCCUCUAUAUUGUCCCAAUUGAACUAAAAUCUUU
rnacentral:SRP_RNA from 2 species